UACGUAGGGUGCGAGCGUUAAUCGGAAUUACUGGGCGUAAAGCGUGCGCAGGCGGUUCGUUGUGUCGGUGGUGAAAGCCCCGGGCUUAACCUGGGAAUGGCCAUGGAAACUGGCGAACUGGAGUGUGGCAGAGGGGGGUAGAAUUCCACGUGUAGCAGUGAAAUGCGUAGAGAUGUGGAGGAACACCGAUGGCGAAGGCAGCCCCCUGGGAUAACACUGACGCUCAUGCACGAAAGCGUGGGGAGCAAACAGG
rnacentral:rRNA from 1 species